GGUUGAUCCUGCCAGUAGUCAUAUGCUUGUCUCAAAGAUUAAGCCAUGCAUGUCUAAGUAUAAACAUCUUUAUACAGUGAAACUGCGUACAGCUCAUUAUAUCAGUAAUUAUUUAUUUGAUGGUACCUUUCUACAUGGAUAACUGUAGUAAUUCUAGAGCUAAUACAUGCACAAAGUCCCAACUCGCGAGGGGAGGGAUGUAUUUAUUAGAUAAAAAAUCAAUGUGGCCUCUGGUCACUCAUUUGAUGAUUCAUAAUAACUAAUCGAAUCGCAUGGCCUUGUGCUGGCGAUA
rnacentral:rRNA from 1 species